GGCGCAUGGCCUAGUGGUUAGGGCAUUUGGCUCACAAUCAUAAGGUCGUGAGUUCAAUUCCCAGCGACGCUU
rfam:Octopus bimaculoides Scaffold49675_contig_9, whole genome shotgun sequence.